UCAGUAACACGUAGUCAACAUGCCCAGGGGACUGUGGAUAACCUCGGGAAACUGAGGAUAAACCGCGUAUAGGUCACUACUUCUGGAAUGGGUAAUGACCCAAACCUAUACGGCCCCUGGAUUGGACUGCGCCGAUCAGGCUGUUGGUGUAGGUAAUGGCCCACCUAAACCUGUAACCGGUACGGGCUCUGAGAGGAGGAGCCCGGAGAUGGGCUACUGAGUACAAGGGCCCAGGCCCUAUGGGGCGCAGCAGGCGCGAAACCUCUGCAAUAGGCGAAAGCUUGACAGGGUUACUCUGAGUGAUUUCCGGUAAGGAGAUCUUUUGGCACCUCUAAAAAUGGUGCAGAAUAAGGGUGGGCCAAGUCUGGUGCCAGC
rnacentral:rRNA from 1 species